UUUCGAAAUUAAUAAAAAAAAUAAAUAAAAAUGGCAAUUUUGUGAAUAAUUCAAAAACAUAAGGAUAGUAUGGAAAUUUUAUUGAUGAAUAGUAUGGACAAAAAAAAAGGAUUGGUUUUGGGUUUGACUUGAAAAUAUGGGUUGGUUUUGAAAAACAUCCAUCAUUGAAACUAGCUGCGAUUGGAUCUAUUCCCAUAUGUGAUGAAGCUCAUCCAAUUCCAUGAUUCUCUGUAUCCCUUUUCCUUCCAAGUUAAACGAUGCAAUGUACUCUCAGAAGUUAAAGCACCACGCAAUGUACUCUCAGAAGUUGAAGCAUCACAAGAUGAUUAAGGUUGUCUCUUGUCUCAUUAAAUUAUUUUUUCCCCUCUCUCCAUUAUUAUUUUUUCACACAUUAUCAUCUCAAGCGUCGCAUAACUACACAAAGAUACCACUAUAAAUAGUUUAGGCCCCAACAGGGAAAACCACAUCUAAAUCCCUAACACUAUCUCCAAUGGUUUACAUUAUUUUUACUUUAAAAUACAAUAACUCUAUAAUAAAGUUUAAGUUUUCUCCAAUUGUACUCUAUUUUAGAGUAAAAAAUAGAGUGAUGAAAAAAAAAAGUUACUCUAUAUUUAGAGUAAACAUAUUUUUCACUCUAUUAUAGAGCAAAAUAUAGAAUACCAUUAGAAUAUUUUUACUCUAAACUCUAAUUUAGAGUAGAAAAUAGAGUGGGAUUGAAAAUGUCAUUUACGCUUAAUUUAUCCUCCCCAAAAGUCCUUAACCUUUUCACCUAAAACUCUCUCCAUGUGAUGUUCUCGCUUCCCCAGCUCUGUCGUGUUCUACGUAUCUUUCUGAAAUGACAGCUGCCACAACUUUCCGGGGUCGUCUUAUCUCAGGCAAGACAACCAACCUAGUCAUGGUGGUGACCACGGUGGAUUCCAAAAUAUUUCAAGGUUUGCUCAACUGUCUAGACUUAAUCAUAUAUAAGUAAAUAGAAAACUUGGUAAACAUACAUCUCAAUCACUGGGCUUACACUAUUUUGACACCAAAGUUCUUGCCAUCCAAGAGUUUACGAAUAAGUCAGUUAAAAGUCUCACGUUUAUGUGUCUCUAUGUUCAUAUUUUCGAACUUGAUGCUAAUGCUUCAGUAUACAACUGCGAGUUAGAGCUUAUUUGAAUAUCGCUUCUGCCCAACACUAAUACUUAUUUUUAGUUUUAAUAUCCUCC
rnacentral:lncRNA from 1 species